GACGAACGCUGGCGGCGUGCUUAACACAUGCAAGUCGAACGGAAAGGCCCUGCUUGCAGGGUACUCGAGUGGCGAACGGGUGAGUAACACGUGUGUGAUCUGCCCUGCACUUCGGGAUAAGCCUGGGAAACUGGGUCUAAUACCGGAUAGGAGCCAUUUUUAGUGUGAUGGUUGGAAAGUUUUUUCGGUGUAGGAUGAGCUCGCGGCCUAUCAGCUUGUUGGUGGGGUAAUGGCCUACCAAGGCGGCGACGGGUAGCCGGCCUGAGAGGGUGGACGGCCACAUUGGGACUGAGAUACGGCCCAGACUCCUACGGGGAGGAGCAGUGGGGAAAUUUGCACAAAGGGCGCAAGCCUGAUGCAGCGACGCCGCGUGGGGGAUGACGGUCUUCGGGUUGUAAACUCCUUUCGCUAGGGACGAAGCUUUUUGUGACGGUACCUAGAUAAGAAGCACCGGCUAACUACGUG
rnacentral:rRNA from 1 species